rnacentral:rRNA from 1 species
GAAGGAUGCAAGCGUUAUCCGGAUUCAUUGGGUUUAAAGGGAGCGUAGGUGGUCUUGUAAGUCAGUGGUGAAAUCUUCCAGCUUAACUGGGAAACUGCCAUUGAUACUGCAGGACUUGAGUACAGAUGCUGUGGGCGGAAUAUGACAUGUAGUGGUGAAAUACAUAGAGAUGUCAUAGAACACCGAUUGCGAAGGCAGCUCACAAAACUGUAACUGACACUGAGGCUCGAAAGUGCGGGGAUCAAACAGGAUUAGAUACCCUGGUAGUCCGCACUGUAAACGAUGAUUACUCGCUGCUGGGGGGCAACUUCCAGUGGCUGAGCGAAAGCGAUAAGUAAUCCACCUGGGGAGUACGCCGGCAACGGUG